rnacentral:rRNA from 1 species
GAUUGAACGCUGGCGGCAUGCCUUACACAUGCAAGUCGAACGGCAGCACGGGAGCAAUCCUGGUGGCGAGUGGCGAACGGGUGAGUAAUGUAUCGGAACGUGCCCAGUCGUGGGGGAUAACGUAGCGAAAGCUACGCUAAUACCGCAUACGAUCUGUGGAUGAAAGCGGGGGACCGUAAGGCCUCGCGCGAUUGGAGCGGCCGAUAUCAGAUUAGGUAGUUGGUGGGGUAAAGGCCUACCAAGCCGACGAUCUGUAGCUGGUCUGAGAGGACGACCAGCCACACUGGGACUGAGACACGGCCCAGACUCCUACGGGAGGCAGCAGUGGGGAAUUUUGGACAAUGGGCGCAAGCCUGAUCCAGCAAUGCCGCGUGCAGGAUGAAGGCCUUCGGGUUGUAAACUGCUUUUGUACGGAGCGAAAAGGCUCUCUCUAAUACAGGGGGCUCAUGACGGUACCGUAAGAAUAAGCACCGGCUAACUACGU